rnacentral:rRNA from 1 species
GUGCCAGCCGCGGCGGUAAUUCCAGCUCCAAUAGCGUAUAUUAAAGUUGUUGCAGUUAAAAAGCUCGUAGUUGGAUUUCUGUUUUGAGCGUCCGGUCCGCCCGUAUGGGUGUGUUACUAGGAUGUUUGAGACAUUUUUUGUGAGGAUGUUCUUCUGCCAUUCAGUUGGUGGUUGAAUAGACUUGCAUCGUUUACUGUGAAAAAAUUAGAGUGUUUAAAGCAGGCGUUUGCUCAUUGAAUACAUUAGCAUGGAAUAAUAAGAUACGACCUUGGUGGUCUAUUUUGUUGGUUUGCACACCAGGGUAAUGAUUAAUAGGGACAGUUGGGGGUAUUCAUAUUUCAGCGUCAGAGGUGACAUUCUUGGAUCGCUGAAAGAUGAGCUUAGGCGAAAGCAUUUACCAAGGAUGUUUUCAUUAAUCAAGAACGAAAGUUAGGGGAUCGAAGAUGAUUAGAUACCAUCGUAGUCUUAACCAUAAACUAUGCCGACUCGGGAUUGGCAGUCGUUUUUCAAAUGGACCUUGUCAGACCGUAUGGAGAAAUCAAAGUCUUUGGGUUCC